GAACGCUGGCGGCGUGCCUAAUACAUGCAAGUCGAGCGAACAGACGAGGAGCUUGCUCCUCUGACGUUAGCGGCGGACGGGUGAGUAACACGUGGAUAACCUACCUAUAAGACUGGGAUAACUUCGGGAAACCGGAGCUAAUACCGGAUAAUAUAUUGAACCGCAUGGUUCACUAGUGAAAGACGGUUUUGCUGUCCCUUAUAGAUGGAUCCGCGCCGCAUUAGCUAGUUGGUAAGGUAACGGCUUACCAAGGCAACGAUGCGUAGCCGACCUGAGAGGGUGAUCGGCCACACUGGAACUGAGACACGGUCCAGACUCCUACGGGAGGCAGCAGUAGGGAAUCUUCCGCAAUGGGCGAAAGCCUGACGGAGCAACGCCGCGUGAGUGAUGAAGGUCUUCGGAUCGUAAAACUCUGUUAUUAGGGAAGAACAAAUGUGUAAGUAACUAUGCACGUCUUGACGGUACCUAAUCAGAAAGCCACGGCUAACUACGUG
rnacentral:rRNA from 1 species